UACGUAGGGGGCUAGCGUUGUCCGGAAUCAUUGGGCGUAAAGCGCGCGUAGGCGGCCCGGUAAGUCCGCUGUGAAAGUCAAAGGCUCAACCUUUGAAUGUCAGCGGAUACUGCCGGGCUAGAGUCCGGAAGAGGCGAGUGGAACUCCUGGUGUAGCGGUGGAAUGCGCAGAUAUCAGGAGGAACACCAACAGCGAAGGCAGCUCGCUGGGACGGUAUUGACGCUGAGGCGCGAAAGCGUGGGGAGCGAACAGG
rnacentral:rRNA from 1 species